rnacentral:lncRNA from 10 species
UCGGGGGAGGGUAUAAGGGAGCCCAGGGACACUGGGGCACCAGCUCGUUAACACGUGUGUAUGAAUGCCGGCUGUGCGCUUGGCAAAUCCUUAAUUACACAGGGAGAACUUCCUGAACCGGGAACUCAGUAUCGGUCCCUGAAAGGUUGGGUAAUGGCUUCUUCUUGCAUCUGGAAUCCAAGGGGACCAAUCUCUCUGGCUCCCCUGGGCUCUCAGAUUCUUCUAGAUGUCUUUGUCUUCUAAAAUUCUGGGAUCCCAAGGGAAGACACAUAGUUAAGGACACUCAGAAAUGCAUACCUUUCAACCCUACUAAUCAUCCUAAAACCUGUGCUUUCAACAUAUCACGUCCUUGAUCUGUAACCCUCAGGGGCACCCACGAUCUCCAAUGACUGGGAGUGAUGGCAUUUAAGUCUUUCCACCAUGCAGAAGUUUCUUCCCUCAUUCCCCAUGAAUUCUCUCCUGUAGCCAGCCUGGCCCCUCAUAACCCCUUGGAUAUACUGUAUCUUGAAUUCUCCAGCCUUUCUGCAGUUGCCUUCCUGGGACAUUCAUUCCCAUGUUCACAAUCUAGCCAAUUGUAUCCCUUCUCUAUUCAGUUCUAGCAUCAGUCAGUCAAUCAACAAGCAUUUAUUGAAAGUCCACUAUGUACAAGACAUGUUCUAGGCCCUGGUAAUACAUCAGAGACUGAGACAAAUACCUGUUCUUAAGGAUUUUAUAUUUUAAUGGGAGAAACAGAGUAGACUCAUGGCUCACGCCUAUAAUCCCAGGACUUUGGGAGGCCAAGGCAAGAGGAUCACUUGAGGCCAGGAGCUCAAAACCAGCCUGGGCAGCAAGUGUCUUCUUUUGCCUCUGCAAAAGAAAAUUAAAAAUAACAAAAAAAGGAAGCUAAACUAGAGUAUUGUGGUAGAGGGGUGUGUGUGUGUGCAUGUGGGUGCAUCCGUGUGUGUGGUAGGUUGAUGGGUGCUGUUUUAUUUAGCCAGGGAAGGUCUCUUUGAGGAGGUGGCAUUCGAGACCUUCUGGGUGGGAAGGAGGCAGCCAUGUGGUGAUCUGGGGAAGAGUGCUGCAAGCAGAAAGGCAAGUAAAAACAAAAGCCCUGAGGCAGAAAUGUGCUCCUUAUGCUUAAGAAACACCGUGAAGGCCAACGUGGUUGGAGCAAUGUGAGCAAGAAGAAUAGAGGGGCCUUGGGAACAUAGGUAGCUGAGUCCUCAUGGAUCAAGGUAAGAAGUGUGGGUUUUAUUUUGUUGCAGUGGGAAGCCUUUGGAGGGUUAGAAGGUGGGGAGUGAAGAAAACAGUUAAGAUACUAUUGCAAAAGUCCUGGCAGGAGGAGAUUUUAAAAACCACAGUUGUGGCUAUGGAGAUGGUGAGAUGUGAUACUGGUUUCUGGGUCAGUUUUGGAGGUGGGAAUAGAUAAGGCUUACUGAUGAUCUGACCCAGGACUAACUGGGUAGUCCUAUGUUGGGGGUAGGAGGUGGAUCCAUAAUUGUGUUUGGGCCAUGCCAAGACCUAUCAGACAUCAGGUAAAUAUGUGUAGACAGCUUUGAGUCUGGAGUUCAGAUUUAAAUUUGAGAACCAGCAUGUAGGUAGUCUUCAAAGCAGUAGGCCAGAAUAAUUCCACUUAGGGAGAGAGUCAAGAAAGAAGGUAGCAGAUGGCUGAGACUGAUGCCACUCCAACCUUUAGAGAUCUGGUAGGGGAAAACCCAGCAGAGCAGACUGAGGAAGACAGCCCAUGACACUGGAGGAAAACCAGAAGAUGGUGAUUACAAGGAACUCAGCAAAGGAAGUAUUUUGAGAAAGAGGAUGUAUCAGUCUGCUAUUGCUAGGUAACAAACAACCACAAAAAUCUCAAUGGCAUAACAGUAAAUAUUUAUUUGAUUCACAAAGCUGUGAGUCAGCUGGAGGUUGGCUAGAUGAGGCUGAUGUUGGCUGGGCAGCUCUAAGCCACCGUUGGGCUGAGCCUGCUCUGCAUACAUGUCCCUCACUCUUUUUGUACCUGCAGGCCAGCUAGGGCACAUUUUUCUCCCAUGGUGAUAAUAGGCACAAAAAAGCAGGUGGAAACAUAAAAUGCCUCUAAAGACCUAGAUUUGGAACUGGCACCAUGUCACCUCCUCCUACAUUCCAUUGGCCAAAAGGGGUCAUGCAGCCACGCCCAAAGUCAAGGGGCAAGAAAGUACAGUAUAGUCUACAUCUAGCGGGAGGGACUGCAGAGUCGGAUUGAAGGGGAUAGGGAUAGAGUGAGGCAGGACAAGAAAUAGGACCCAUAAUUCAGUCUUCCACAGAGAGAGUGGUCAAACGCAUUCAGUGCCACUGACAGGCCAGAUGAAUAGAGGAUGGUGAACUGGCCACCAAUGUGACCUUAAGAUGUCAGUCAUUGGCAUCCUUGAUAAGAGCUAUUAAAACAGACAACUAGGGCUAAAAGCCCAGUUGGAGUGGGUGGAAGUGAGAAUGAGAAGUGUGGAGGUGGAGAUGUCAGUGUGUAGACAACUCUUUCAGGAACAGUCACUCUAAAGAGGGGCAGAAACAUGGUAUAAUAGCAAGAAGGGGAUAUGAGGCUAAGGCUUUAGAGCUUUUUAAGUCCCAUUUAACUUCCAUGGAAAGGCUCUGGUAGGAAGGAAGAAAUUGAUGAACACAACAGAAAGGGGAUAAUUGUGCUGGCAAAAGGGGAUGGGGCCCAGGGCACAGAUGGAGGGCUCGGCCAUGGGUGGUGGGUGGAGAGAAUGCAGAGCUAUAGGCAUUCUGGUGGCUUUGGAGGGAGGUAGGAAGAUCCGGCAACAGAUCGUACCUACUUUCUCUAUGAAGGAUAGUCUGAGGUUACAGUGAGAAUGAAAGAGGAAGGGGAGUUGAGAAUAUGCAGAGAGAGGAGAAAGUGUGACAUUAUUGCACUGCGGAGAGGGAAAAGGAAUUUUCUAAGUAACUGUAGUAGGAUUGUCCAACAGUUCAAAUGCCUGUUUGAAAUUUAUGGCCAGAAAUUUGAAUUGAGUCCAUCCAGAGUAGCUGGCCGAUUUUCUUUAGUGGUGUUCAAUUGCUCAGGUGCAGGUGUGAAGUAAACAGUUUGAUUUAACCACAGCUGGGUUUUCGCCCAGUGAAUACAAUGGAGAGAGACCAGAGCAAGGAAGGUAGGAGUGUUUGCCAGGGAGAUUUUGUGUGCUGGAGCAUGGAGUUUCAGUUCUCAGCUGGCUGAGAACGAAGGCCUGAGGGGAGAGAUGUCAUGAGAAAACAGGAGAGUCAUGGAAUAGAGGUCUGAGAUGGGAAAAUUGCUGAGUCCAAGAACUAAAGGAGAGGAACAAUUAUUACUUGCUGAGAGGAGCUAAGCUGAUCUGCAUGAUGAAGGAAUGGAAUGGGCUAAGGAAGACGUCCAGACAGGGAAAAGCCUUAUGGAAGGGAAUUCAACAGAGUUUUCAGAGAUUAGCACAUUUGAGGCUCUCUAAAUAAUCAGAUGUGGAGGAAGGGGCUUCUGAGAUGAGCUAACACGACUAUGACCCAGAGUCUUUUAAUGUUCUUCCAAAUACGUGAUCAAAUAAUGGAAUUUAUUCUGUAUUAAUUUUGAGCACUAAACUGUGCAUUAAGUCUAUAGAGGGAUUGGACCCUAUGGUCUCCCCUCUGAUUUACAAGAAUUAUGUUUUUAAAAGAUGGGGUCAUACUAUAUUUACUUUUACUUAUAAAACAUUUUAAAAUUUUAAUUUUAAAUUAAUUAAUUUAUUUUUGACACAGAGUCUCGCUCUGUUGCCCAGGCUGGAGUACAGUGGCUCGAUCUGAGCUCACUGCAACCUCCGCCUCCUGGGUUCAAGUGAUUCUCCUGCCUCAGCCUCCCAAGUAGCUGGGACUACAGGCCCAUGCCACCAUGCCCAGCUAAUUUUUCUAUUUUUAGUAGAGACAGGGUUUCACCAUGUUGGUCAAGCUGGUCUCGAACUCCUGACCUCAUGUGAUCCACCCACUUUGGCCUCCCAAAGUGCUGGGAUUACAGGCGUGAGCCACCCCCCGGCCUUUCAAAAAAAUUUUUAAUUCACCACUAUACUAAUGAGGAUAUAUUUGGUACUUACAUGAUCUUUUUUUUUAAAAAAAAAAACAAUUAAAUCUUAUGGUCAAUAAAUGCAGAAAUGAAUUAUCCUUUGAAACAGCUGCAUGGUUGGCCUUCAUUUGUCUUCAUCAUAAUUUAUUUAACCCCCACUUACCGAUUUUUGUCAUUGUUGUUGUUUGUUUGUUUUAAAUAGAGUCUCACUCUGUUUCCUAGGCUAGAGUGGAGUGGUGUAGCCUCAAACCCCUGGACUCAAACAGUCCUCCCACCUCAGCCUCCUAAAUAGCUGUGACUACAGAUGCACACCACCAUAUCUUGCUUUUUUUUUUUUUUUUUUUUUUUUUUUUUGGAGAUGGAGUCUCGCUGUGUCACCCAGGCUGGAGUGCAAUGGCGUGAUCUCAGCUUACUGCAACCUCCAUCUUUCAGGUUCAAGAAAUUCUCCCGCCUCAGCCUCCAGAAUAGCUGGGAUUACAGGUGCAUGCCACCAUGUCCAGCUAAUUUUUGUAUUUUUAGUAGAGAGUGUUUCACCAUGUUGGCCAGGCUGGUCUCGAACUCCUGACCUCAGGUGAUCCAUCUGCCUCGGCCUCGCAAAGUGCUGGGAUUACAGGCAUGAGCCACCAUGGCCGGCCACAUCUGGCUUUUUAAAAAAUUUUGUGGAGAUGGUGUUUCACUAUGUUGUCCAGUCUGGCCGCAAACUCCUAGCUCAAACAAUCCUCCCAUUUCAGCCUUCCAAAGUUUUGGGAUUAUAGGUGUGAGCCACUGCACCUGGCCAACCCCUCCCCUGUUGAUGCCCACUUAUGUUGUUUCGAAGUUAAUAAAUGGUUACCUAAGGUCAUCCUUAUGUUCGUACAUCUUUGCAUCUUGCUGAAUUUUUCUUUAGAACAUAUUCCUAAAAGCAUCCAUGCAGAGUUAAAGGAUAAUAAGAACAUCAGAAUUCAGUGCAGUGCCAAGUUGCUCUCUGGAAAGCAAAAUUAACACAAUGACCUCCAGGGUUGGGUUUCUGCUCCUGAGUGUAGUUGUGCUGCCCAGGGAGGUCCAAGUAGGCAGAGAUGCUUAG